UACGAAGGGGGCGAGCGUUGUUCGGAUUUACUGGGCGUAAAGGGCGCGCAGGCGGUCUUGAAAGUCAGGCGUGAAAGCCCCGGGCUUAACCUGGGAAUUGCGCUUGAUACGCUGAGACUGGAGUACGGGAGAGGAGAGUGGAAUUCCCAGUGUAGAGGUGAAAUUCGUAGAUAUUGGGAAGAACACCAGUGGCGAAGGCGGCUCUCUGGACCGUAACUGACGCUGAGGCGCGAAAGCGUGGGGAGCAAACAGG
rnacentral:rRNA from 1 species